rnacentral:rRNA from 1 species
CCUACGGGAGGCAGCAGUGAGGAAUAUUGGUCAAUGGACGAGAGUCUGAACCAGCCAAGUAGCGUGAAGGAUGACUGCCCUAUGGGUUGUAAACUUCUUUUAUCAAGGAAUAAAACGAGGCACGUGUGCCUGUUUGCAUGUACUUUAUGAAUAAGGAUCGGCUAACUCCGUGCCAGCAGCCGCGGUAAUACGGAGGAUCCGAGCGUGCUCCGGAUUUAUUGGGUUUAAAGGGAGCGUAGGGGGUUUGUUAAGUCAGUUGUGAAAGUUUGCGGCUCAACCCGCAAAUUGCAAUUGAUACUGGCGGUCUUGAGAACAGUUGAGGUAGGCGGAAUGCGUGGUGUAGCGGUGAAAUGCUUAGAUAUCACGAAGAACCCCGAUUGCGAAGGCAGCUUACUAGACUGUGACUGACAUUGAUGCUCGAAAGUGUGGGUAUCGAACAGGAUUAGAUACCCCAGUAGUC